rnacentral:tRNA from 1 species
GUCCCCAUAGCUCAACGGAUAGAGCGCAGCCCUGCGAAGGCUGAGAUCGCGGUUCGAUUCCUCGUGGGGACA